rnacentral:pre_miRNA from 1 species
UAUGUACUCCCUCCGUCUCAAAAUUCUUGUCUUAGAUUUGUCUAAAUACGGAUGUAUCAAGUCACGUUUUAGUAUUAGGUACAUCCGUAUCUAGACAAUUCUAAGACAAGAAUUUUGAGACGGAGGGAGUACAAG